UACGUAGGGGGCAAGCGUUGUCCGGAAUCAUUGGGCGUAAAGAGCGUGUAGGCGGUCCGGUAAGUCGGCUGUGAAAGUCCAGGGCUCAACCCUGGGAUGCCGGUCGAUACUGCCGGACUAGAGUUCGGAAGAGGCGAGUGGAAUUCCCGGUGUAGCGGUGAAAUGCGCAGAUAUCAGGAGGAACACCAGUGGCGAAGGCGGUGCUCUGGGCCGGAACUGACGCUGAUGAGCGAAAGCGUGGGGAGCAAACAGG
rnacentral:rRNA from 1 species